rnacentral:rRNA from 1 species
GACGAACGCUGGCGGCGUGCUUAACACAUGCAAGUCGAACGGAAAGGCCCUGCUUUUGUGGGGUGCUCGAGUGGCGAACGGGUGAGUAACGCGUGAGUAACCUGCCCUUGACUUUGGGAUAACUUCAGGAAACUGGGGCUAAUACCGGAUAGGAGCUCCUGCUGCAUGGUGGGGGUUGGAAAGUUUCGGCGGUUGGGGAUGGACUCGCGGCUUAUCAGCUUGUUGGUGGGGUAGUGGCUUACCAAGGCUUUGACGGGUAGCCGGCCUGAGAGGGUGACCGGCCACAUUGGGACUGAGAUACGGCCCAGACUCCUACGGGAGGCAGCAGUGGGGAAUAUUGCACAAUGGGCGGAAGCCUGAUGCAGCAACGCCGCGUGCGGGAUGACGGCCUUCGGGUUGUAAACCGCUUUCGCCUGUGACGAAGCGUGAGUGGCGGUAAUGGGUAAAGAAGCACCGGCUAACUACGUG